rnacentral:rRNA from 1 species
GACGUAGGGCGCGAGCGUUGUCCGGAUUUAUUGGGCGUAAAGAGCUCGUAGGCGGCUUGUCGCGUCGUCCGUGAAAACCUGGGGCUCAACUCCAGGCUUGUGGUCGAUACGGGCAGGCUAGAGUUCGGUAGGGGAGACUGGAAUUCCUGGUGUAGCGGUGAAAUGCGCAGAUAUCAGGAGGAACACCGGUGGCGAAGGCGGGUCUCUGGGCCGAUACUGACGCUGAGGAGCGAAAGCGUGGGGAGCGAACAGG